ensembl:lncRNA
CGCCAUAGAGAGAGAGAGCAGACCACAGCCCCCGGCAUUAUGACUAGCCUGUCUUUGUCUACCCACCCGGACCAUACUAUCCGAAUGUAGAUCGCUGGUACUGCAGUUUAAAGGUCACCUGGGACAUGCGCAAAACCAUGUAAACGCCUGCAUGACAUCGACCAGCUGAAGGACCAACCAGACAGACAACCAGCAAAAAUUCCGCAGCAGAACAUUUCGGAGUGGUGGUAGUGGUAGACGCAGCAGAGCAAGACCCUGGGAAGAGGCCGGUUGUCACCUUGGCCUUGGUACUGCUGUCCGGCUCAGGGUCAUGCCUGGGAACCUGUGGUGUCAGGAGCUCCUGUGGGAUCACAACUUGGAAUAUUAUGGGAAAAGGUGACUAUUGUUUCCCAGACAUCCUAUGCUGAUGUUUUACUGCUAUUUAAGCCUUUGUAUCCACAAUCCAACUAGGUUUUCUGUGUGUGUGUGUCUUUCCCUCCCCCUUUCCCUCCCAUCAUUUACACUCCAUUCCCAUAUCCUGCUGCAUCACUCUUUCCUUUCAUUGUAUCCCUCCAGCCCACAGGUUCCACUUUACAUAUUCCCACAGGAGACUGCUGACCUGCUACUGACCCCUCUGACAGCUAACAUCAAUCUGACAGUUAGAUCAGCAGAUGGAUGGCUGGAUGGAUGGAAGAAAAGAAGGACGUACAGUUGAAGUCGGAAGUUUAC